GUGGGGAAUCUUGCGCAAUGGGCGAAAGCCUGACGCAGCCAUGCCGCGUAAAUGAUGAAGGUCUUAGGAUUGUAAAAUUCUUUCACCGGGGACGAUAAUGACGGUACCCGGAGAAGAAGCUCCGGCUAACUUCGUGCCAGCAGCCGCGGUAAUACGAAGGGGGCUAGCGUUGCUCGGAAUUACUGGGCGUAAAGGGCGCGUAGGCGGACAGCUUAGUCAGAGGUGAAAGCCCAGGGCUCAACCUUGGAAUUGCCUUUGAUACUGGCUGUCUUGAGUUUGGGAGAGGUGAGUGGAACUCCGAGUGUAGAGGUGAAAUUCGUAGAUAUUCGGAAGAACACCAGUGGCGAAGGCGACUCACUGGCCCAAUACUGACGCUGAGGCGCGAAAGCGUGGGGAGCAAACAGGAUUAGAUACCCUGGUAGUCC
rnacentral:rRNA from 1 species